CAGUCGCCACGGUAAUACGAAGGGGGCUAGCGUUGCUCGGAAUGACUGGGCGUAAAGGGCGCGUAGGCGGCGGCCAAAGUCAGGCGUGAAAUUCCCGGGCUCAACCUGGGGGCUGCGUUUGAUACUUGGUUGCUUGAGUGGGGAAGAGGGUCGUGGAAUUCCCAGUGUAGAGGUGAAAUUCGUAGAUAUUGGGAAGAACACCGGUGGCGAAGGCGGCGACCUGGUCCUUUACUGACGCUGAGGCGCGAAAGCGUGGGGAGCAAACAGGAUUAGAUACCCCCGUAGUCCCUGUCUCUUAUAC
rnacentral:rRNA from 1 species